AGAGUUUGAUCAUGGCUCAGAACGAACGUUAGCGGCGCGCCUAAUACAUGCAAGUCGUACGCGACAGGGGCAACUCUGUUGAGUGGCGCACGGGUGAGUAACACGUAGGUAAUCUUCCCCCGAGUGGUGGAUAACCCUCCGAAAGGAGAGCUAAUACAGCAUAAGACCACGGCUUCGAAAGAAGCUGAGGUCAAAGCGGAGGAUCGCAAGACUUCGCGCUUGGGGAUGAGCCUGCGGCCCAUCAGGUAGUUGGCGGGGUAAUGGCCCACCAAGCCUAAGACGGGUAGCUGGUCUGAGAGGAUGAUCAGCCACACUGGAACUGAGACACGGUCCAGACUCCUACGGGAGGCAGCAGUAGGGAAUCUUGCGCAAUGGACGAAAGUCUGACGCAGCGACGCCGCGUGGGUGAUGAAGGCCUUCGGGUUGUAAAGCCCUGUGGGGAGGGACGAAUAAGUUCCGGUUAAUACCCGGAGCGAUGACGGUACCUCUUUAGCAAGCACCGGCUAACUCUGUGCCAGCAGCCGCGGUAAGACAGAGGGUGCAAACGUUGUUCGGAAUUACUGGGCGUAAAGCGCGUGUAGGCGGCCAAGCAAGUCGGAUGUGAAAGCCCUCGGCUCAACCGGGGAAGUGCACUCGAAACUGCUGGGCUAGAGUCUCGGAGAGGAUCGUGGAAUUCUCGGUGUAGAGGUGAAAUUCGUAGAUAUCGAGAGGAACACCGGUGGCGAAGGCGGCGAUCUGGACGAUGACUGACGCUGAGACGCGAAAGCGUGGGGAGCAAACAGGAUUAGAUACCCUAGUAGUCC
rnacentral:rRNA from 1 species